AUAUGGAGGUAUGAUUCCCCUUAAAAGCAUUCCUUGGAAAGCUGAACAAAGUGAGUAAGAACUCACACACACACACACACACACACACACACAC
rfam:Erinaceus europaeus unplaced genomic scaffold scaffold00183, whole genome shotgun sequence